rnacentral:lncRNA from 1 species
CUUCGACGCAUAUCCCGUAUGGCAGUGCAAUUCCAGUUUCUCUACAAUGUGAUUGUAGUGGUCAUAAAUUUCAACAACCCAAAAUGAUAAAGUGGCCUUAGAAGAGGUAGGGUGUGGGAGUUGGAGGUGACAUCAUCAUUGGGUGAGUCAAAGCUGGGCAUCCAAUUAUUGGGAAAGAAAAGGUACUUUUUAGUAGGGAGGGAAGUGAAAGAUUCCACCAUCAAAGGAAGGUGUGAGCGGAUGAGGUGGGGGGAAGAGCUAGAAUAAAGGGAGGCAGAGACGUGGGAAGAGUGGAGAGUCAGUGUAAAAUCGAAGAGAAAUAAUUGUAGGGAGGAUGAUAGAGGUGGUGGUGGAGGAAAAGGCAGAGGAGCGACCACAUGUUAGGAUAGAAGGAAAGAUGACAAAGAAGGCAGUGAGGAAAGAGGAUAGAAGGCAUCUUCGAUGGCGUCUAAGGUAAGGUUGGAAUGGGUUGACAGAGUUGGUGGUAGCAUUGUAGUGGCACAAUAGGUUGCAGGAAUUUAGGCCCAUCCAAUGGUUGUAGAUCUAGAGGUACUGUGACAAAAGUUUGGUUUGGGUUAGUUGACUCGUUUUUUGUUCCUCAUUUUUGGACUUAUUUUAUUAAUUUCUUGAAAAUAUUCUCCUUUUAAGCUUAUUUUGUUAAUUUAUUAUAAAAAUGAGCUGGCUAGUGGACAGUUCGACUCAUGAGACCCACAAACCUAAGGGCCGAGCUAAACUCUAUUUGGCACUGUUUCUCACCAUAGUCGCUACCUUCCACGACUACCAUCACCUUUCGCCCUGUGCCAUUAUCUAAACCUAGUAUCAACAUCAAAACCCACAUUUGAAACCACUAUCGAAAUCACCACCAUCAUCUGAACAUAAUUAUCUAAAAAUCACGAGUAUCAUCAACAUUAAAGAAUUCCGACAAUGCUCCUCAGCCUAAGAAAUUUGAGCCUCAAUCAAAGUCAAUUUCACUACCACCAUGGACCUACGUCAUCCUACUUCCCAAAGACUAAGUCCUAGGUUAUGCACAGGGAUAGCUUGGAUAGAGGGAAAUGCUAGGAUGUAGUCCAAUGCUUCCCAGGCCCAGGUCCAGUAAAAGGUCGAAGAAAAUGAAUAAAAUGUCUUAAAUAUAGUCCAUGGCCCACUAACAAUCAACUAGCACAACCCAAUUUCAAGAAUCAAUAUUUUAUUUUAAUCUUUUGACCCAAUUAUUUGUUUUAGCUUUAGCCUAUUACUCAUAACAAGUUAAGAAAUAUCUUCUUCCUUUUCUGUUGAUUUGAAACAAUUGAAAAAAAAAAUUCUCAAAUCUUUUUAAAUGUUUAACACUAAUUCUUUCGAUUCUUUUGUUUAGCUACCUCCCCACCAGAGUCGUUGGCCGUCAACAACAAAUAAAUAAAACACUAAAGCAUGAGCAAGACAUCCAGCAAUGUUUUGGGAAAUUAAUUUGAGCAUUUUGAAAAUCGAACAUUCGGUCAUUGGUUUGUAAUUGUGGUCAUUUUUUAUACUUAUAUCAAAAUACCUUUCUUGAUUUUUUCAUUCAUUGUAUUUCUUAAAUUUUUAGAAUCUCGUUGAUCUCGAUUUCUGUAGGGAUGAUGUGGUCAAUAGAUCCCAUUUCAGAGCCAUGCCGCAUUGAAUGUUGUGGUGUGCUGUAUUGAGUACUGUGUUGGUAUUGCGACUUAUGUUUGACAUGUAAUACUAGACUUAAAUAUUUAAUUUGAAUGGAGCCA